UGGGGAAUAUUGGGGCAAUGGGGCGAAAGCCUGACCCAGCAACGCCGCGUGAAGGAAGAAGGUCUUCGGAUUGUAAACUUCUUUUAUGAGGGACGAAGGACGUGACGGUACCUCAUGAAUAAGCCACGGCUAACUACGUGCCAGCAGCCGCGGUAAUACGUAGGUGGCAAGCGUUAUCCGGAUUUACUGGGUGUAAAGGGCGCGUAGGCGGGGAUGCAAGUCAGAUGUGAAAUCUAUGGGCUCAACUCAUAGCUUGCAUUUGAAACUGUGGAUCUUGAGUGUCGGAGAGGUAAAUGGAAUUCCCGGUGUAGAGGUGAAAUUCGUAGAUAUCGGGAGGAACACCAGUGGCGAAGGCGGUUUACUGGACGAUUACUGACGCUGAGACACGAAAGUGUGGGGAGCAAACAGGAUUAGAUACCCUGGUAGU
rnacentral:rRNA from 1 species